rnacentral:rRNA from 1 species
GACGAACGCUGGCGGCGUGCUUAACACAUGCAAGUCGAACGGAAAGGCCCUGCUUUUGUGGGGUGCUCGAGUGGCGAAAGGGUGAGUAACACGUGAGUAACCUGCCCUUGACUUUGGGAUAACUUCAGGAAACUGGGGCUAAUACCGGAUAGGAGCUCCUGCUGCAUGGUGGGGGUUGGAAAGUUUCGGCGGUUGGGGAUGGACUCGCGGCUUAUCAGCUUGUUGGUGGGGUAGUGGCUUACCAAGGCUUUGACGGGUAGCCGGCCUGAGAGGGUGACCGGCCACAUUGGGACUGAGAUACGGCCCAGACUCCUACGGGAGGCAGCAGUGGGGAAUAUUGCACAAUGGGCGGAAGCCUGAUGCAGCAACGCCGCGUGCGGGAUGACGGCCCUCGGGUUGUAAACCGCUUUCGCCUGUGACGAAGCGUGAGUGACGGUAAUGGGUAAAGAAGCACCGGCUAACUACGUG